rnacentral:rRNA from 1 species
CCUACGGGAGGCAGCAGUGAGGAAUAUUGGUCAAUGGGCGCAAGCCUGAACCAGCCAAGUCGCGUGAGGGAUGACGGUCCUAUGGAUUGUAAACCUCUUUUGUCGGGGAGCAAGGCCCGCCACGUGUGGCGGGAAGGAGAGUACCCGAAGAAAAAGCAUCGGCUAACUCCGUGCCAGCAGCCGCGGUAAUACGGAGGAUGCGAGCGUUAUCCGGAUUUAUUGGGUUUAAAGGGUGCGUAGGCGGCCUUUUAAGUCAGCGGUGAAAGUCUGUGGCUCAACCAUAGAAUUGCCGUUGAAACUGGGGGGCUUGAGUAUGUUUGAGGUAGGCGGAAUUCGUGGUGUAGCGGUGAAAUGCUUAGAUAUCACGAAGAACUCCGAUUGCGAAGGCAGCUUACUAAACUGCCACUGACAUUGAUGCUCGAAAGUGUGGGUAUCAAACAGGAUUAGAUACCCGAGUAGUC